UACGAAGGGGGCUAGCGUUGCUCGGAAUCACUGGGCGUAAAGCGCACGUAGGCGGAUUCUUAAGUCAGGGGUGAAAUCCUGGAGCUCAACUCCAGAACUGCCCUUGAUACUGAGGAGCUUGAGUCCGGGAGAGGUGAGUGGAACUGCGAGUGUAGAGGUGAAAUUCGUAGAUAUUCGCAAGAACACCAGUGGCGAAGGCGGCUCACUGGCCCGGUACUGACGCUGAGGUGCGAAAGCGUGGGGAGCAAACAGG
rnacentral:rRNA from 1 species